UACGUAGGGGGGCGAGCGUUGUCCGGAAUUACUGGGCGUAAAAGGGCGAGUAGGCGGCUAUACAAAGUCAGAUGUGAAAAUACCAGGGGCUCAAACCCCCUGGUACUGCAUUUUUGAAAAACUGUGUAGCUUUGAGUACAGGGAGAGGGAAAAGUGGGAAAUUUCCCCAAGUGUAGCGGGUGAAAAUGCGUAGAUAUUUGGGGAAGGGAAACACCCAGUGGGCGAAAGGGCGAACUUUUC
rnacentral:rRNA from 1 species